rnacentral:tRNA from 1 species
GUUCUUGUAGUUGAAAGUACAAUAGCGGUUUUUCAUAUCGUUGGUCUCAAGUUGUUGAGUGAGAAUA